rnacentral:rRNA from 1 species
UACAGGGGGGGCAAGCGUUGUUCGGAAUUACUGGGCGUAAAGGGUUCGUAGGUGGCCACUUAAGUCAGACGUGAAAUCCCUCAGCUUAACUGGGGAACUGCGUCUGAUACUGGAUGGCUUGAGUGCAGGAGAGGAAUGCGGAAUUCCAGGUGUAGUGGUGAAAUGCGUAGAUAUCGGGAGGAACACCAGUGGCGAAGGCGGCUUCCUGGCCUGUUCUUGACGCUGAGGCGCGAAAGCUAGGGGAGCAAACGGG